rnacentral:lncRNA from 1 species
CGCAUAAACAGCCACAUAUUGUAGGAUGCUAAGAACCAAAAUUCGCGUUUUUGGUUUUGAUGUUUUCAUAAUUGAGUAGUUCUUUCGAAUAACCACGUAAACUAAUAAUUUAAAACGCUCCUAAGAUUAUAAAUUUAAUUUUUCUUGGAGAGAAAAUGUAAGCCAUAGCUAUGAUUUUUGCAAAACAUAUUUUCCAUAAUUUUGCUAAAAUUGCGGUGAAAAACGAUGUGUGCGUGUGUAUUUCAAGAUGAAGAAAUCAAACCCUACAAAAAGAUUGGAAAUCUCGGCAGCAGUGUAAUGGUUUCAUAAGUGUUUAUACAAAAAAACGUACCAGUCUUCAUGACAUCCAAUUGAAGGGUAAAACAGUAAACUAAUUUCUUUAUUUUCAGAUGAAUUUGCCUGGUACAGCUAUGGACCCGAGAAAACCUUCAACGCUACGGCUCAGAGAUUUCACCCUUAUACAAUUUAAGCGCCAUCACAACCAAGAUCUCUUUCCACUACAGUUACAAUGAUUACGCAUCACAUCCAACGGAUGUGCUGAGACUAGCAAAAAUUGUGCCAAACGUCGUUGGAAUGUAUCCGAUUAGAUUCAAGCAAUUCAACCACGUCGAUUACCUGUGGGCUACCGAUAGUAAAAACUUUUUAUGGACGACAUUAUCACGAUGAUCCAAAAACACUCAAAACCCUCAAAAGACAGCCUUUCAUCAUCAGAAACCGCCUCAUCAUCCUCCCCCAACGACAUCAUUCGGCGGCGAUGAGAAAGUUUGAGUUAUCUGUGACUAUAUUCUAAAUCACCCAAUUGUGUUUCGAUCGCGUCACCAUUAUUAUGUAUGUGUGGGUAGACUAUCCAAAUUGUACAGGAUAGCACCAGUGGCGAAGCGAGAAUGAUCAAUUAUCGAUAUUUUCCAUUUGAAGCUAUGGUAUAGGAUCGAUUAUUAAGGCGUUCGUUGCAAACACCUUUUUUAUCGAUACGUUUCCACAGGUUUAAUGGCAGAUCAAUCAAUAUAUCGCAAAGCACGCCUCGCCUCUGACCAGCACCAGGCAUGCGGUG